AACGAACGCUGGCGGCAUGCCUAACACAUGCAAGUCGAACGGGAUCCGGACUUCGGUCCGGUGAGAGUGGCGGACGGGUGAGUAACACGUGGGAACCUGCCUUUUGGUUCGGGAUAACCGCGGGAAACUGCGGCUAAUACCGGAUGCUCCCGAGAGGGGAAAGAUUUAUCGCCAGAAGAGGGGCCCGCGUCCGAUUAGGUAGUUGGUGGGGUAAUGGCCUACCAAGCCGACGAUCGGUAGCUGGUCUGAGAGGAUGAUCAGCCACACUGGGACUGAGAUACGGCCCAGACUCCUACGGGAGGCAGCAGUGGGGAAUAUUGGACAAUGGGGGCAACCCUGAUCCAGCAAUGCCGCGUGAGUGAUGAAGGCCUUAGGGUUGUAAAGCUCUUUUGCCAGGGAAGAUGAUGACUGUACCUGGAGAAUAAGCCCCGGCUAACUUCGUGCCAGCAGCCGCGGUAAU
rnacentral:rRNA from 1 species